rnacentral:rRNA from 1 species
GACGAACGCUGGCGGCGUGCUUAACACAUGCAAGUCGAGCGGUAAGGCUCCUUCGGGAGUACACGAGCGGCGAACGGGUGAGUAACACGUGAGCAAUCUGCCCUUCACACGGGGAUAACCCUCGGAAACGAGAGCUAAUACCCGAUACGACCACUUCAGGCAUCUGAUGGUGGUGGAAAGUUCCGGCGGUGAAGGAUGAGCUCGCGGCCUAUCAGCUUGUUGGUGGGGUAACGGCCCCCCAAGGCAAGGACGGGUAGCCGGCCUGAGAGGGUGACCGGCCACACUGGGACUGAGACACGGCCGAGACUCCUACGGGAGGCAGCAGUGGGGAAUAUUGGACAAUGGGCGAAAGCCUGAUCCAGCAACGCCGCGUGAGGGAUGACGGCCUUCGGGUUGUAAACCUCUUUCAGCAGGGACGAAGCGCAAGUGACGGUACCUGCAGAAGAAGCACCGGCCAACUACGUGCCAGCCGCCGCCGUAA